rnacentral:misc_RNA from 1 species
GAUGAAGAACGCAGCAAAAUGCGAUAAGUAAUGUGAAUUGCAGAAUUCAGUGAAUCAUCGAAUCUUUGAACGCACAUUGCGCCCGCUGGUAUUCCGGCGGGCAUGCCUGUUCGAGCGUCAUUUCAACCCUCAAGCCCCCGGGUUUGGUGUUGGGGAUCGGCUCUGCCCUUCUGGGCGGUGCCGCCCCCGAAAUACAUUGGCGGUCUCGCUGCAGCCUCCAUUGCGUAGUAGCUAACACCUCGCAACUGGAACGCGGCGCGGCCAUGCCGUACAACCCCAACUUCUGAAUGUUGACCUCGGAUCAGGUAGGAAUACCCGCUGAACUUAAGCAUAUCAAUAAGCGGAGGA